rnacentral:rRNA from 1 species
UUGGAGAGUUUGAUCCUGGCUCAGGAUGAACGCUGGCGGCGUGCCUAAUACAUGCAAGUCGAGCGAACAGAUAAGGAGCUUGCUCCUUUGACGUUAGCGGCGGACGGGUGAGUAACACGUGGGUAACCUACCUAUAAGACUGGAAUAACUCCGGGAAACCGGGGCUAAUGCCGGAUAACAUUUAGAACCGCAUGGUUCUAAAGUGAAAGAUGGUUUUGCUAUCACUUAUAGAUGGACCCGCGCCGUAUUAGCUAGUUGGUAAGGUAACGGCUUACCAAGGCAACGAUACGUAGCCGACCUGAGAGGGUGAUCGGCCACACUGGAACUGAGACACGGUCCAGACUCCUACGGGAGGCAGCAGUAGGGAAUCUUCCGCAAUGGGCGAAAGCCUGACGGAGCAACGCCGCGUGAGUGAUGAAGGUCUUCGGAUCGUAAAACUCUGUUAUUAGGGAAGAACAAAUGUGUAAGUAACUGUGCACGUCUUGACGGUACCUAAUCAGAAAGCCACGGCUAACUACGUGCCAGCAGCCAGCGGUAAU